GACGAACGCUGGCGGCGUGCUUAACACAUGCAAGUCGAGCGGUAAGGCCCUUUCGGGGGUACGACGAGCGGCGAACGGGUGAGUAACACGUGGGUGACCUGCCCUCAGCUCUGGGAUAAGCCUGGGAAACCGGGUCUAAUACCGGAUAUGACUCCAUGACGCAUGUUGUGGGGUGGAAAGCCUUGUGCGGCUGAGGAUGGGCCCGCGGCCUAUCAGCUUGUUGGUGGGGGUGAUGGCCUACCAAGGCGACGACGGGUAGCCGGCCUGAGAGGGCGACCGGCCACACUGGGGACUGAGACACGGCCCAGACUCCUACGGGAGGCAGCAGUGGGGAAUCUUGCGCAAUGGGCGAAAGCCUGACGCAGCGACGCCGCGUGAGGGAUGACGGCCU
rnacentral:rRNA from 1 species